GACGAACGCUGGCGGCGUGCCUAAUACAUGCAAGUAGAACGCACAGUUUAUACCGUAGCUUGCUACACCAUAGACUGUGAGUUGCGAACGGGUGAGUAACGCGUAGGUAACCUGCCUGGUAGCGGGGGAUAACUAUUGGAAACGAUAGCUAAUACCGCAUAAUAUUAAUUAUUGCAUGAUAAUUAAUUGAAAGGUGCAAUUGCACCACUACCAGAUGGACCUGCGUUGUAUUAGCUAGUAGGUGAGGUAACGGCUCACCUAGGCGACGAUACAUAGCCGACCUGGGAGGGUGAUCGGCCACACUGGGACUGAGACACGGCCCAGACUCCUACGGGAGGCAGCAGUAGGGAAUCUUCGGCAAUGGACGAAAGUCUGACCGAGCAACGCCGCGUGAGUGAAGAAGGUUUUCGGAUCGUAAAGCUCUGUUGUAAGAGGAGAACGGGUGUGAGAGUGGAAAGUUCACACUGUGACGGUAUCUUACCAGAAAGGGACGGCUAACUACGUG
rnacentral:rRNA from 1 species